ensembl:snRNA U6 U6 spliceosomal RNA
GUACUCAUUUCAGCAGCACAUAUACUAAAUUGGAAUGAUUCAGAAAAGAUUAGCAUGAUCCCUGUGCAAGGAUGGCCCACAAAUUGGUGAAACCUUCUAUAAUUAU